rfam:Photobacterium ganghwense strain DSM 22954 contig0031, whole genome shotgun sequence.
UCGGUUCUUUUUUUUAGUUCCUUGCUUCUCAUGGAUGACCGAGCCAAACAGAGAAGCUGAUUAAUCCGUAAGGAGCAACCCAUG